GAUGAACGCUGGCGGCGUGCCUAAUACAUGCAAGUCGAGCGAACAGAUGAGGAGCUUGCUCCUCUGACGUUAGCGGCGGACGGGUGAGUAACACGUGGAUAACCUACCUAUAAGACUGGGAUAACUUCGGGAAACCGGAGCUAAUACCGGAUAAUAUAUUGAACCGCAUGGUUCAAUAGUGAAAGACGGUUUUGCUGUCACUUAUAGAUGGAUCCGCGCCGCAUUAGCUAGUUGGUAAGGUAACGGCUUACCAAGGCAACGAUGCGUAGCCGACCUGAGAGGGUGAUAGGCCACACUGGAACUGAGCCACGGUCCAGACUCCUACGGGAGGCAGCAGUAGGGAAUCGUCCGCAAUGGGCGAAAGCCUGACGGAGCAACGCCGCGUGAGUGAUGAAGGUCUUCGGAUCGUAAAACUCUGUUAUUAGGGAAGAACAAAUGUGUAAGUAACUAUGCAUGUCUUGACGGUACCUAAUCAGAAAGCCACGGCUAACUACGUG
rnacentral:rRNA from 1 species